GCGAGCACAGUUAGCUAAAAAAAGGCAGCGUUUUCAGCUAUUUUUUUUUAAUGAAAACGCUGCCUUUUUUAGCUAACUGUGCUCGC
rnacentral:pre_miRNA from 1 species